UACGGGGGGAGCAAGCGUUGUUCGGAUUUACUGGGCGUAAAGGGCGCGUAGGCGGCGCAACAAGUCACUUGUGAAAUCUCCGGGCUUAACCCGGAGCGGUCAAGUGAUACUGUCGUGCUAGAGUGCGGAAGGGGCUACUGGAAUUCUCGGUGUAGCGGUGAAAUGCGUAGAUAUCGAGAGGAACACCUGGCGGCGAAGGCGGGUAGCUGGGCCGACACUGACGCUGAGGAGCGAAAGCGUGGGGAGCGAACAGG
rnacentral:rRNA from 1 species